ensembl:rRNA 5S_rRNA 5S ribosomal RNA
GACAUUUGGUAGAGAGUGUUGAGGCCACCUGGUCCCAGCAGACCCCAGAGAAUUGCCACAUUCACUGGCGCUGGAAAAAGGUCAUUAAGGGUGAAGCCUGGUGCCAGAUGUGU